UACGAGGGGGGCGAGCGUUGUUCGGAAUUAUUGGGCGUAAAGGGCGCGUAGGCGGCUUUAUAAGUCGAAGGUGAAAUCCCUCGGCUCAACUGAGGAACUGCCUUUGAAACUGUAAGGCUUGAGGCCGGGAGGGGGUAGCGGAAUUCCCAAUGUAGCGGUGAAAUGCGUAGAUAUUGGGAGGAACACCAGUGGCGAAGGCGGCUACCUGGACCGGUACUGACGCUGAUGCGCGAAAGCGUGGGUAGCAAACAGG
rnacentral:rRNA from 1 species